rnacentral:rRNA from 1 species
GAUGAACGCUAGCUACAGGCUUAACACAUGCAAGUCGAGGGGCAGCAUGGUCUUAGCUUGCUAAGGCCGAUGGCGACCGGCGCACGGGUGAGUAACACGUAUCCAACCUGCCGUCUACUCUUGGACAGCCUUCUGAAAGGAAGAUUAAUACAAGAUGGCAUCAUGAGUUCACAUGUUCACAUGAUUAAAGGUAUUCCGGUGGACGAUGGGGAUGCGUUCCAUUAGAUAGUAGGCGGGGUAACGGCCCACCUAGUCUUCGAUGGAUAGGGGUUCUGAGAGGAAGGUCCCCCACAUUGGAACUGAGACACGGUCCAAACUCCUACGGGAGGCAGCAGUGAGGAAUAUUGGUCAAUGGGCGAGGGCCUGAACCAGCCAAGUAGCGUGAAGGAUGACUGCCCUAUGGGUUGUAAACUUCUUUUAUAAAGGAAUAAAGUCGGGUAUGUAUACCCGUUUGCAUGUACUUUAUGAAUAAGGAUCGGCUAACUCCGUG